UGAUGGUAGGGUGAUGGGGCUCACCCAAACUUCCCAGAAGGGAUAAUGGCUCCUGCGAAUGG
rnacentral:ncRNA from 2 species